rnacentral:lncRNA from 1 species
CCAAUCUCUGUAUAAAACAGCUUUUAAUAAUAAUUCAUGUGCUUCAUUUUCUUUAGUUGUUUUUUCAACUAGAAAUUGUGAAAACUUUGUAAGAGCUCGUCUAAAAUUUGCUCUUUGUUCUAAAAUAUGGGUUUUUCAUAUUUCAUUAAUAUAUUUAUAAAUUUCAUUUGGUAAUCCUGGAUUAUAAAAAUCUUUUAUU